rnacentral:lncRNA from 1 species
UCAUUUCUGAGCACUUAGACAACAUCAAAAGAGCAAAAUGAUAAAGAAGGUGAGAUGUCUGUCCCACCACAUCCUGUAGAGUUCCUAUUUGUUGGCGGUACUUGAUGCUAUCCAAGGGAAUUUCCUACAGAUUCGUCGAUUCUCCUGAUGAAAUAAAUGUGAUAGGAGAGAUAUGAUCCACAUCAGCCAUGCUACAAAAGCAGAAAGAGUUGCUCAAAACAUAUAAAAAAACAAGACCUUCAUGAAACAUGAGCCGUCUUUUUUUUUUGAAAUGGAGGCAAAAUAUUUGCCUAUCGUUUAAUGAAGAAGAAAAGAGCUGCCCAAUGAAUUAACAAAGAGAAAACUAACAUAUUCAGACCAAGGGUGAACUACUCACAAAGCAUGAAAACCCACGACCGCACAUGCAGCCCACCAAACACUACUAACGCAGAACAACCGCAAUCCCCUACACUUGUACAAUGCAACGAGGCCAUUGAUGACAACAACUCAACAACAUGAAAAGUGCCAUUUUGAUACAUACAAGGAACACAUGAUAAGAAAAGAGACCUGCCAGUUUAAAUAAAGUGCAGUCGGGGUACGUCUUAACUUUGUGCCAACGUAAUUUGGCGCCCAGAUGUAUGUCCCGGAUGAUUCUGGUCUCUCGUACACCACCACAUGCACAGCAUUAGGGCCUC